AUUACACAUGCAAGUCUCCGCACCCCAGUGAAAAUGCCCAAACCAAAGACAAAGGAGCUGGUAUCAGGCACAACAAAUAGCCCAAGACACCUUGCCAUGCCACACCCACACGGGUCAUCAGCAGUGAUUAAUAUUAAGCAAUGAGCGAACGUCACUUAAAGCUUGACUUAGUUAUGGUUAAUUAGGCCGGUAAACCUCGUGCCAGCCACCGCGGUUAUACGAGGGGCCUAAAAAAGCAGAAAUCGGCGUAAAAUGUGGCUAGAGUAUUCACCUUCACUUAGAGGAAUAAACCUAAGCCUAGUGAUAAAAUACAGGCAAAAUGAACACCCCCCCCCCUCUAAAAAGAAACUUGAUCCCACGAAGACUAAGAAACAAACUAGGAUUAGAUACCCUACUAUGCUUAGUAGUAAAUAAGACAUUAAAAAACAACAAUGUCCGCCAGAGAAUUACGGGUGAAAAACCUAAAACUCAAAGGACUUGGCGGUGCUUCACAUUCAACUUAGAGGAGCCUGUCCUAUAAUCGAUAUCCCACGAUACACCUCACCAUUUUUUGCCACUUCAGCCUAUAUACCGCCGUCGUCAACAUACCUCGUAAGAGAUCAACAGUGUGUAAGAAAGUUCAACACUAAAACGUCAGGUCAAGGUGUAGCUAAUAAAAUGGGAGAGAUGGGCUACAUUUUUUUACAAAAAACAAACGGCAAAAAGAUAUGAAAUGAGCUCUUGAAGGUGGAUUUAAUAGUAAGAUAAACAAGACAGUUUAUCUAAAAACAGCCCUGAAGUAC
rnacentral:rRNA from 1 species